CCAAUGGCCUGGCCAAGAAUGUUGAUGUCACAAGGAAAGGGAACAGAGUUUGAUUGUGUGUCACAUAGAACUGGGAACAGACUGCUGUACUUAGAGGGACGUCCUUAUCAAUUAGGUAAUGUCUGCUAAUGAUUGAGGAGCUGUGUUAGGCAGUGCUCCAGCUGUUGAUAUGUUAGCAAACAUCUGCAAAGGGCACUCGUACCUUGUGGGAAAAACUUUUCUUAGUCUGGAUCCCACUGGUCCAAGCCCUGAAAGACUGGCAGACCCAACAGCAUCUCACAGGGCAUCUGAAACAGAGGAACAUGGCAGAAAUGUGGACUGGGCACAGGAGGCAGCUCUGCUUGGGAUGUUGGUUCCAUCUCCAGGAGAUCAACAGCGCUAUGGGAAGAGGAAGGUGUGGCCAAGGCUCUGACAUUGCUGUGGUCUUCCAGAGAAUGGGCCAUCAGCAACAUCAUCACCACUUGCCUCCGUCUGGAGGUACUAGCAGGUCCUUUGUAGUUUGAAAAUGUCCGACAGAGCAUUACAACUAAAUCUUAAGAGGACCAUCAUACAGCGAGAGACAUUUUCUUCCUGUGCAUCCAAGCAAGAAGGCCUGUUUCACAGUCUUUUAAGCUGAUUCCUGAGUCUCCUACACACGCCUGAAUCAGAUGUGUGGGUGUUUCUGUGUCUGGUGUACCUAGAACAGGGCCAAUGGGAGGAAGUGACGCGCUACUGAACCUGUACUAACCGCAGGGAUUGGUUUGAAUAUUUAGAGUUACUUGAGACCUGAGGGUUAACAAUGUGCUAGGAAGAGACUGGCUUAUGAUUCAUUAUUUCAACCCUAAAAGGUUACACCUUAUUACAUUCAGAAGCACAACUUCACUAUGUUCAAUUUUAAUCUCUAUUCUUUGAGACUCUGCUCUUUGCCUUUCAGAUCUUGAUACAACCAACGAUCAAAAUAAUGGAAUUUCAGCCUGGAUGGGUUACACUAGCAACACCAGGGAGACAGAAGUGUCAGGAAAACAAAGACAGGAAAGGCUUGUAUACUGAUGGAUGCCCUCUUGUCCCACUCUGCUACCCUAUUUCUUUGGCAUCAGGGAGAGCCCUCCAUUGCCAUAGCCCAGUGGAUCUCAUCUGCCAUGGCUCAGUGAUAGGAGGACACUGUAUUUACCCUGCUGUGUUAUCUAUAUCCAGUGCCUUCUAUCCACUUUACAUUCUCUCUAUAGGUUUUCUAGGAGAAAAGAGAAAUCCAUUCUAUCAUGGAAGAGUGAGAGAUGGGAGAGAGGGAGAGGAAAGGGACAUGAUGGGCAUGGUAGGAUGGGAGGGACAAGAGGAGGGAGCCAGGAAAGCUACAAAGAGAAAGUGUUGUCGAUCUGUAUCUUGAUGAAUAAGCAGCAGUUAUAGCUGAACAAUAAGAUUAUGGCUUUUCUCUCUCAUUAUUUUUCUGUUUUCUACCAUUCAUUCUUUGAAUCACUCAUUCAGCAGAUACUCAUGGAGGUGCUAGCUUUGUGCCAGGUCUUGUUCUGGGUGUUGAGGAUACCAAGGGAAGUGAACCACACCUGAGGCAUAAGGAAAAAAAAAUCACUGAAGACCCAAGAAGCAGAGCAAGUGCAGUAAGUGAAAGGGAUGGCAGAAGAAAUCACAUUUCCUGGCUCCAAGGGCAG
rnacentral:lncRNA from 1 species